AACUCCAACCCCACGAGCUCCGUGACUUUCUCAUGGCACUUACCCUCAGCUUUACCGAUUCACCUUCUUCUUCAUUCGUCUUCCCUCACCUUCUUUUACCCCUAAACUCAAAAACCCUCUUCUUGCCUAUUCUUAUCUCCUUCGAUCUCAAAAGCCUCGUUCUCUCUAUCAAACCCAAUCACGUUCACAAUCUUAUAAACCCUAAAAAAAUAAUUGAUUGAACCCAAAAAUCUAUUAAAACUCUAUAAAUCGAUUGAACCUAUAACUUAGAAUUCGAUUUAUUUGUUUCCAAAAAUCGAUUGAAACCCAAAAACCAUCUUCCAUCUUCAACAAUACUUUGUGUGUCACAGAUUUGGAUUCACGCUAAACAUCUACACUUAUACUGAAGAAAGCAGGAUGGAUGGUAGUCAAAAGGUUUGAAAAAAUGGCCACGGUCGCGUUUUGGUCCCGUAAAGGUUUUCAAGAUUUUUCAAUCGGUACAGGUGUUGCAGCAUUGAUUGCAGUCGAUACGAUGUGAGUUAACUUCAAAUUGUUCUUUAACAUAGAAAUGGUGAACACCGUUGUGUCGUUGUUGGUUUUCAGGGCUGCGGACCGUUUUUUAAAACCUAGUCAUCUUACCAAUCUUUCUCCCAUUGUUGCUUCUUUUCAUCAGUGACAUUCUAAUGCUCAAGGUUUUCUUCUGACCUUUGCUUAGGUCAAAAUUGUGAUGUAGUUUUGUCACUUUUAUUAUGAUGAAUUGCACAAUAGAGGCAGGAAUCAUCAAAUAAGAAGUUUAGGAACAUGGAUGAGUACCACUUUUAUGAUCUUUAAUGAUUUAAUAUAGUUUGCUCAAGGUGUAGAACAAGCAGUGUGAAAAGCAACAAUACCUCAAAAAUUAAGGGACAUUUGACUAGAGUGGGUUAAUUAUGGCGUUGAUGCGUACUCUGAUGCUUGUCUCGAAUCUAGCCCCUGUGUGGUUCCGUGUGCAAAAUUUGGCGGCUUCACCAAUAUAAGAUCAUUGUACCUCUUUCUCCUAAAAUCAAGCAUGAGGAGGCAUCUCAAAUAUUCACUUAUGCAAAUCAAGCUGGACUAUAUAUGCUUGAAACUACUCUAGUUGCCCUUCAAAAUAUAAAGCUCUAGAUGAAGCUUCCAGGAAGAUUCUUUUCUCUAAAUUCUCUAAGAUGAUGCAACAUGUAACUAAAUUGCUUGUUACUAGAAUACUAUUCUUUUAUUAUUUUAAAGCUAAUGCAUUCUUAACAAGCAUCAAAAUGUCAAGGUUCUGUUGUAGUCAAUUGAUAAUUAAUAUUUGAUAGUUGUUGCAGACUUAUCAUAUUCAUUUUUAUGAUUUAUUUUUUAAACAUUUUAUGCAUCUUAAAUAACGUGUUAUGACAAAUUUAGUUUUAUUAUACAAAAGAAUGGAUAUAUAUAUAUAUAUAUAUAUAUAUAUAUAUAUAUAUAUAUAUAUAUAGAGAGAGAGAGAGAGAGGAGGGAUCAAAUUACACCCGAAGAGUUACACCAUGAGUUACACUCGUUCAAUAACUACAUCU